rnacentral:lncRNA from 1 species
ACUUACAGUCAGACGUUUUGUAAAUGUCGGAGCUGGACCACGAGAGAGUCCUGGACUGAUGGCUCCAGCACACGAUCACUUAGCCACAGGCUGGAGUUGUUAUGCGCAGCACCUUGGCUUGCUUUCCCUAAGCACACCUCAAAUUGAAAGGGAGGUAAAGCCUCAUCAGUGAAACAGGCAAAUGCUGGGGUAGUGAGUCAUCUCCAGCUCUGAGAAGGGGAAAUGCCUAGAGCAAGGGCUACAGCCUUAACAGCCCCACCAGUUCCCAGUUCCAAUAUUGUUUCCUGGAAUGAACUUUUACAACCAGGAAGAAGCUAUUUAAAACCUUCAUUACGAUACUUUAGCAUCUCACCAUGAAGGAUAUUUAAAAGCAAAAUGACCUGAAGCAGGUGUGAGUAAUCUGUGGAUAGAACAGAGCUCUGCUCCAGGCGCAAGCACUGCUGUAGGUAAAGUGCUGAAGAAGAGGAAGACUACAGGCUAUUUAUCCAUGGCGGCAGCACAGCUUGGGGCAAGGCAGAGCUAAGACGACCCCUCUGUCUUUGUGAAGAUGCCAGAGGAAACCACCAAAGCCGUCAUAUCUCUCCUGAUUGAUGAUAUAAUGACUCAGUCUCCAACAUGGGGCUCUGCCAUACUCAAUACUUGGCUUCCAGGGUCGUUAUGCCUUUCAACAGAAUGCUGGCAAAGAGAAACGGCAUGGAGGAUCACAUGUGGAGGUCUUUAUGGCAUAAGCUUGGGAGCACCAGACAUUCUGCCCUCUACAUCCCAAUGGAUGGCACUUAGUCACAUGACCACUCCUCACUGCAAAUUAAGCUGGGCUGUGUGAUUUAAUUGUAUGCCUAGGAUGAAGAGCUUUCUGGUCUCUCUAAUAGCUACCAAUGAUUUUAUGGUUGAUCUUGAAUAUUAAUAUUCUAAUAACCAAGUGUACAAAAACAUAACUUGAAUAUUUUGGGUUUUGUCUUUAAAAGCUACAUCCUGUAAACACAUAUAUUAGUAGAGUUAAAAUUAAUAUAAAGUAAUUCUUCAAUUCUUCACAUGAAACUCUGUAUAGUAUUUGAAUCAAUAU